ACCUGAGUGGCUCAGUUGGUUAAGUGUCUGACUUUGGCUCAGGUCAUGAUCUCAUGGUUGGUGGGUUCGAGCCCCACAUCAGGCU
rnacentral:tRNA from 1 species